GCAUUUUUAGUUUGUUGCAUUACGUUUUAAAUUGACGUCUGUGUUGGCGGGUUAAAAAAAAAUCGAUUUUUUUUUUUUUUGCGAAGUUAGGGCCGUCGAGAGUUAGUGAGGGAAGGGAACGUUGCCGGGACUUAACAGCUAGCAAAUACACGGAUGAAUUUAUACAAUUCCAAGGACGCGGAAUUUUGUUUGGAAAGGCUGCGCUCCAACCCUGGAGAGAACCUACGAAGGGGAUCGAUCUCGGCGUUUCUCAAAGGAUUAUCUCCUUCGCGGGAAUCUCCAUUUUCUUCCUCACCAAUUCUCUACAGAGCUUUGAAGGAAGCCAUGGGACACACUCGCUUGCCAACCUUUCCGGAUGCCCAGAGAAGCCAUUACUGAAGUCUCCCGUCCAAAUACCAAGCGAAAACGCAGGCGGUACUCAAGCACAAGAGGGAACAGAGGGAAGAAGGGGAAAAAACUGAGAAUUUGAUUUUUAUUUAUUUAUUUUUUCUUCUGGCUUCAAACGCUGCUGUGUCAGUCACUCUUUCCCCGAGAAUCACACCUUUUCUCACACCUGGAGAGAGCUGGUAUUGAGCCCAUCCCGUUUUUGGUGCGGAUGCAAACGCAGAAACGCUCAUUGAGGGUCUGCCUAGGUUUUAUGCCACAAUGGAGAGUUUUGAAUGCUCCUAAACUUUUAGGACGGGCAGUGUUAAGGCAGGUAACUGCAAAGUCAAAUAGUAAAUUUUCACUAGUCCACAAAUUGUGGAAACAUUGUGCUUAACCCCUUCUUCUGUGGUUGUUUUUCAGAGCCGUUUUUGUCUGUAACAAUGUUUUUGAAAAAGGCAUGUUAUUGACCAUGCAUGGUAAUGGCAUUAUGUGAAAAUCUGCAAUUUGAAAUAAAGUAUGCAAGCCAAAUAAAUAAAAAAUAAUAAUAAAUCAAAUAAUAAAAUAAAUAAAUAAAUACUGGACAAAGAAA